rnacentral:tRNA from 1 species
UCCUUAUAUUUUGGUUUUACCUUUUUUUAUAAAAAUUUUAACUUUAGUAAUAUUUUUAAUUAG